rnacentral:rRNA from 1 species
GACGGAAGGUGCAAGCGUUGCUCGGAAUCACUGGGCGUAAAGGGUGCGUAGGCGGCCGUGCAAGUCUGGCGUGAAAGCCCCGGGCUCAGCCCGGGAAGUGCGCUCGAAACUGCGCGGCUCGAGUGCCGGAGGGGAGAGUGGAAUUCCUGGUGUAGCGGUGAAAUGCGUAGAUAUCGAGAGGAACACCUGCGGCGAAGGCGGGUUGCUGGGCCGACACUGACGCUGAGGCGCGAAAGCCAGGGGAGCGAACGGG